rnacentral:rRNA from 1 species
AGGGACAGACGCAGCCUGAUCAGCCAUGCCGCGUGCGUGAGAAGGCCCUCUGGUUGUAAAGCUGCUUUUGCCCGGAAGAAAACCUAAAUACCAGUAUUUUGCUGCAUGGACGGUACCAAUAAAGAACGCCUAACUCAAUGCCAUGCCCCCCGCCGCUAUAAUAA